rnacentral:rRNA from 1 species
UACGAAGGGGGCUAGCGUUGCUCGGAUUGACUGGGCGUAAAGGGCGCGUAGGCGGCCUGGCAAGUGGAAGGUGAAAUCCCUCGGCUUAACCGAGGAACUGCCCUCCAAACUGCUUGGCUUGAGACCGGGAGAGGUGAGUGGAAUUCCCAGUGUAGCGGUGAAAUGCGUAGAUAUUGGGAGGAACACCAGUGGCGAAGGCGGCUCACUGGACCGGUACUGACGCUGAGGCGCGAAAGCGUGGGGAGCAAACGGG